AUUUUUCUGUGUAAUCAUAAGAUUAUAGCUUAAAUAUAAUCAUCCCCUUGAUUGAAUGUGUGAUACAACCACUCAGGCAUUGGUAACAUUGUGUUGACUGAACACUAGGCCUGUUUGCUCGCUGGCUUCACACUGGCUCAGAGCCUCUCUUGUUCAGGAGGAGCUUUGACACUGUAACUCUUGCCUGUGGGGUUCUCGUCGGCACCAGGAAACACAGAGCAGUGUUGAUUGGAGUCUUCAGGCAGGAGAGACUGCAGCCAUUCAGACAGGCUGCCCCAUGGUGCAGUGUGUGUAUUAUGAAUGUGGCAUUUCAUAGUUUCUGUGUUAGUUACAAGCUGUGUCUUUUACAGUCAUGAAAUUCCUUAAAGCUGAACGUGGGACUGAUCUCUAAUUUUUUCUCUUACUCUCAUUAGUGCCUCACAUAUAAUCCUAAAUAAAAUUCAGAGUUUCUUAAUAUGGGGGUGGGGGUGGAACUACUCUGGGAAAAUGAGGGAAAGUUUUCCAUUAGUGAAAGCUGUUCCAGGUUAUGAAAUAGUAAAAAUAAAUAACACAAAAGUCUGCAGGAGGAAUUUCUAAGUGGGUCCAAACCGAGUGACCUUCAGGUCCUCUCUAAAUCUGGAAUUUUAUCUAUGAAAACACCGAAGUUUGUCAAAAAUCUUCAACCAUCAACCUAAGUGGCGAACUGGCCGCUGAUUAUGGAAAUUUUCUCCAAAAAUGGAAACAAGUAAAUAUAUUUCUUGUGAUAAUUUCGUAAUGAUUUCGCCCUGAACAUUUGACGGUGUGGGGACUUCUCUGUCUGCUUGGCACCUGAAUUGAAGCUCUUGGCCAAGCCUGGCUCUCAGGAGGAAUUCCAGGGGCAAGAGGACACAUUAGUGUUCAUACAAGAAAAAAAAUGCAAAACCAUCUGGCCUGAAUUGUCAUGUCUGGGCAGCCAUGUUGGUGAGAUGUCAUGGGUGUGGCCUCUGACCUUCCUAGGAGACACAGUGUCACUUGAAGAAGCUCUUUACUCCGCCCUCUCUUUUAGGUGGGCAAGGUCUACGACUGCUCUGCAUUGGCUGUGUUUCCUCUCCGUUGAACCGACUUUGAUCCAAGGGGUACUGGAGGUGAUGGAUCUCAGCGAAGACGGUGGCUCCGGUGGGAAUCAAAGGUGGGAGUAGUCUUAGGGUGGAGAAUGAGAAGCUCCCUUCCCUGGAGGAAAGCCACCCGCCAGCAGAGGCAUGAACCUUUGUGCGGGUGCCAAGCUUUUCACCCACUGAGCAUCGGAGGUGGAUGUCAUUUCCUUCACAGGUAAGAGCAAGAAGUGGUGUGUGCCAGGGCCCUGUGAUUUUUGGGUGACUCAGCCUGUGACCUUUCAGGAGGAAUCUCAGAGAGAGAAGGUGGGGAGUCUGAACUUGCUCUGUCGGAGCUUGAGAGGUAGCUGUUGCCGAUGCUUCUUCACAAUUCAGAUGAAGAGGGUUCAGUUAAUCCUACCUCUUGGCUCAAGGAUAUAGGCAUCAUCGGUCCCUGCAAAACACCUUUUGAAGAUGUAUUUACUUCCUUAUUCCUGUUUCUCUCCAUUCUUAAAUUCUAUUUUCUUGUCCAAGCCACAGUAAUUCUUAGGUGUGUUGUAUGCCUCCUUUUAUUUGCAUGCUUUGUUGCAAAAGUGAUUUCUUUGCAGUAUUAAUUUAUGUCUGUGUUCUAUCUCAUUGUUUCUCACUUUCCCCCUUGUUUAUUUUUUCCCCAUAACUGCUCCUAAAAUCCAUUCAUGCUGCUAUACAGACCUCAGUUCUGCUGUGUAGUAAGUAUUCCCUGGAAUUCCUGAGUAAUAAUGUAGUGAGUACCACAUUUAAUACUCAGUCUUAGUGAGGGGAACUAAGAUAACCUUUAACUCUUACCACAAGUAACUGCAGAUGUCUCCAGAGGAACUGAAUGAGACUUUGGGGGGAUGUAUCCUAUAGAGGACUUUCUGUAUGUUCUACUGAACUUGAUUCACCAGGUCGGAGUGCUCCCCAAGGUGACUCACCAGGCCAGAGUGCUCCCCAGGAUGCUUGCCAGUGCAGACUUCUCUCAAGUCCUCCGUCUCUCCAGCAACGUACAAGAACAGUCACAUCUCACAUCUGCCACACUUGGCGUCAUGCUUCUUUCCAUAUUUUAUCCAUAAAAAAGGCAUGCAGUAGCA